rnacentral:rRNA from 1 species
GAUGAACGCUGGCGGCGUGCCUAAUACAUGCGAGUCGAGCGAACAGACGAGGAGCUUGCUCCUCUGACGUUAGCGGCGGACGGGUGAGUAACACGUGGAUAACCUACCUAUAAGACUGGGAUAACUUCGGGAAACCGGAGCUAAUACCGGAUAAUAUAUUGAACCGCAUGGUUCAAUAGUGAAAGACGGUUUUGCUGUCACUUAUAGAUGGAUCCGCGCCGCAUUAGCUAGUUGGUAAGGUAACGGCUUACCAAGGCAACGAUGCGUAGCCGACCUGAGAGGGUGAUCGGCCACACUGGAACUGAGACACGGUCCAGACUCCUACGGGAGGCAGCAGUAGGGAAUCUUCCGCAAUGGGCGAAAGCCUGACGGAGCAACGCCGCGUGAGUGAUGAAGGUCUUCGAAUCGUAAAACUCUGUUAUUAGUGAAGAACAAAUGUGUAAGUAACUAUGCACGUCUUGACGGUACCUAAUCAGAAAGCCACGGCUAACUACGUG